ACCACAAUAAUCAUCCAGGUUUUUUGCCUUCAGCCUGUUUGAGGCCAUGUGGUUUGGAGAUCUGAUCACUAGUCCGAAAAGGAAAGGCUGUUUUCAAGAUUUCUGGGGUGUUUUUUCCUGGAAAAGGUCUCCUGACAAAUGCAGCAACACAGAAUCCUCGUAGGAGUGGUUUAGGCUCUGUGUGAGCUACCUAACUUAGUCAAGUUUCACUGCUGUGGAUCAUCAUCCGUUAUAUGUCAUCAACUCAACUGUCUGUUUCUCUGUAUCUCAUCAAAGACAGCAUAAUUCCUCUGCAUUACAAGCUAAAGUUUGUUCUACCAUACUAAGGAUCACUGGACUAAGGAAUAUAGAUAAAAGAUACGCUUGGGCAUUAGCAAUACAAAAAAAGUUCAUGGUUAAUGUUUCAUCUGCGUUAUACACCACUGCUGGACUUGGUGUUACCUACUUGUUUUAAUCCGAAGAGUCUGCUACAAUGAAGAGUAUCAUCCCAAUCAGCCUUAGAGAAGACUGUUUUGCCUAUGGGAGGACACUGAGGUGCAAAAGAGAAACUCUUCUUGUGCCCUAAACUGUCUGAAUUGCUUUUAUUUUCUUAUACUUUCAGUAUAUACAAUAGACCAAAGAGCAAAAUCUAUUUUAAAGUGGACACAAUGUUACUGUUAUCAGAGUGAUGUCAUUCAAUUGUAGGGGGGCUCCACAAAGAGACGUGAUUCCAGCUUUCACAAAGCUGAGCUAUUGUUGUACAGCAGAACUCUUUCUGGAAAGCUGCAGUAAAAACUAACCCAGAGACCUGCUCUUGAAAUGCCGCAUUCUAGAAAACAUAAUGGAGCAUCGUGAGAAAAUGACCAAUGUUUGAAAAACUUAGACAAAAAGGACACAAACUGUCUACACAGCACCUUUAUUCCUCUGUACUUAGAUUGACUUUCUCAUACUAAAAUCAUUUUCAGUUUUAACCAGUUAAACAUGCCUCUUCUACAGUUCCAUUUUUGAUAGUUAAAGUUGGAUAAUACAGUAUUUGCAAAGAGCAUGUUUGGUCAUCUGUGGCCUAUGUCUCAUCUGAUACACCAUUUAGCACCAGAAAGCAAAUUAAGGAGAAAACAAAAGUAACACUUGUUUGAAAGAGAUCAUUAAAUGUAUUUUGAAAAGCCUAAAGUUAUAUAUUUAACAGUUUUUAUAUGUUGUAUAUUUGUAGAAAAUCCUAUUUAACAAUUAACGUGAUAACUCUGACAGUCAUGACAAGUGGUUCAGAGUUAAGUUGUGUUUUAUUACUUCAGUUGUCUCUGAAGUGACUGGUGUCGUUUGCUUUCUUCCAUUGGGACAUUUUGGAUGUAAAGCAUGACCAGAGAGGACUGUGUAGAAAAAGCAAAGAAUAAUGUUGUUUAUAUUACAUAAAUGCAUUCAACCAUUGCACUGUCGGAAGGCAUUUUUUAUUUUUAUUUUUUUUUUGUCUUUAUGUACCGAUAAAAAUAGAGUGUAAAAUAUUUUAAACAUUGCUCUUCAUAGCAAGGGUUUUUUUUUUUCUUCUUUUUUUCUCUCUCUCUUUUUUUUUUUUUUUUUCUCUUUCUGUCUAUCUUUCUUUCCCCUAGUUUUAGGUAAUAUAGUAUAAGGGCCAGUUUGCAGCCUAUUCCUUGAUCCCGUUUUUCAUUGUUUUACCUCACUGUUAGAAAGCCCACUGUUUCGGCAUUAUUGAUUAGUGAAAAUUUAAUAAAAAUAGCAAUGA